rnacentral:tRNA from 1 species
GAGGGUAUAGCUCAAUGGUAGAGCACAUGCUUAGCAUGCACAAGGUCCUAGGUUCAAUCCCCAGUAUCUCCA